AUUGAACGCUGGCGGCAGGCCUAACACAUGCAAGUCGAGCGGAUGAAGGGAGCUUGCUCCUGGAUUCAGCGUCGGACGGGUGAGUAAUGCCUAGGAAUCUGCCUGGUAUUGGUGGAUGAUGUCCGGAGACGGGCGCUAAUACCACAUACGUCGUGAGGGAGAAAGUGGGGGAGCUUCGGACCGCACGCUAGCAGAUGAGCCUAGGUGGGAUUAGCUAGUUGGUUGGGUAAAGGCCUGCCAAGGCGACGAUUCGUAACUGGUCUGAGAGGAUGAUCAGUCACCUGGGAGCUGAGCCACGCUCCAGACUCCUACGGGAGGCACCAGUGGGGAAUAUUGGACAAUGGGCGAAAGCAUGAUACAGCCAUGCCGAGUGUGUGGAGACGGUCUUCGGAUUGUAAAGCACUUUAAGUUGGGAGGAAGGGCAGUAAGUUAAUACCUUGCUGUUUUGACGUUACCAACAGAAUAAGCACCGGCUAACUUCGUG
rnacentral:rRNA from 1 species